rnacentral:lncRNA from 1 species
CCCCAUCUUGUAUUGCUGCAUUGCCUUGGGGACAGUAAGACCAUCAGCUGUUGUCUCACUGAGCAGAACACAGAAGAGUUAGCUACCAUGUCUUGGAGUUCUAAUAGAAGGAAUGUGAGCACCACAUAAAGACAGACCAACGUCAAUCAAAUGGGAAUGCACUGUCUUAGAAUUUUGAGAAGAAAACCAGCAAGCUGGAAACAAGGGCAGAGUGACUUUCUGUUUGCACGAGAUUGUCGCAAAACCUGUACAUUUCUAGUCACAGCACCAAUGGUAGUUCAAGGAGAGUAGCUAGUGUGAGAGACAU